UACGAAGGGGGCUAGCGUUGUUCGGAAUUACUGGGCGUAAAGCGCACGUAGGCGGAUCGAUCAGUCAGGGGUGAAAUCCCAGGCUCAACCCUGGAACUGCCUUUGAUACUGUCGAUCUGGAGUAUGGAAGAGGUGAGUGGAAUUCCGAGUGUAGAGGUGAAAUGCGCAGAUAUCAGGAAGAACACCCGUGGCGAAGGCGGCUCUCUGGGACGGUACUGACGCUGAGACGCGAAAGCGUGGGGAGCGAACAGG
rnacentral:rRNA from 1 species